UACGUAGGGGGCGAGCGUUACCCGGAUUUACUGGGCGUAAAGGGCGUGCAGGCGGUUUGUUAAGUGCAGGGUGAAAGCUCCCGGCUCAACUGGGAGAGGUCCUUGCAUACUGGCGAACUCGAGGGAGGCAGAGGAAAGUGGAAUUCCCGGUGUAGUGGUGAUAUGCGUAGAUAUCGGGAGGAACACCUGUGGCGAAGGCGGCUUUCUGGGCCUUACCUGACGCUGAGACGCGAAAGCGUGGGGAGCGAACCGG
rnacentral:rRNA from 1 species